rnacentral:rRNA from 1 species
CGAACGGGUGAGUAACACUGGGCAACCUGCCCAAAANAGGGGGAUAACACUUGGAAACAGGUGCUAAUACCGCAUAACCAUAGUUACCGCAUGGUAGCUAUGUAAAAGGUGGCUAUGCUACCGCUUUUGGAUGGGCCCGCGGCGCAUUAGCUAGUUGGUGGGGUAAAGGCUUACCAAGGCAAUGAUGCGUAGCCGAACUGAGAGGUUGAUCGGCCACAUUGGGACUGAGACACGGCCCAAACUCCUACGGGAGGCAGCAG